UCCCUAGUGGUCCAGUGAUUAGGACUCUGCACUUUCACUGCCAAUGGCCUAGGUUCGAUCCCUGGUAGGGGAA
rnacentral:tRNA from 1 species